UUUUAGGUGCGAUUUUGGUUA
rnacentral:siRNA from 1 species